CCCGCCGCCCCCGCCCGAGAGUUUGAUCCUGGCUCAGAUUGAACGCUGGCGGCAUGCCUUGCACAUGCAAGUCGAACGGCAGCACGGAGCUUGCUCUGGUGGCGAGUGGCGAACGGGUGAGUAAUAUAUCGGAACGUACCCUGGAGUGGGGGAUAACGUAGCGAAAGUUACGCUAAUACCGCCAUACGAUCUAAGGAUGAAAGUGGGGGAUCGCAAAGACCUCAUGCUCGUGGAGCGGCCGAUAUCUGGUUAGCUAAGUUGGUAAGGGUAAAAAGCCUACCAAGGCAUCGAUCAGUAGCUGGUCUGAGAGGACGAUCCAGCCACCACUGGAACUGAGACACGGUCCAGACUCCUACGGGAGGCAGCAGUGGGGAAUUUUGGACAAUGGGCGAAAGCCUGAUCCAGCAAUGCCGCGUGAGUGAAGAAGGCCUUCGGGUUGUAAAGCUCUUUUGUCAGGGAAGAAACGGUGAGAGCUAAUAUCUUUUGCUAAUGACGGUACCUGAAGAAUAAGCACCGGCUAACUACGUGCCAGCAGCCGCGGUAAUACGUAGGGUGCAAGCGUUAAUCGGAAUUACUGGGCGUAAAGCGUGCGCAGGCGGUUUUGUAAGUCUGAUGUGAAAUCCCCGGGCUCAACCUGGGAAUUGCAUUGGAGACUGCAAGGCUAGAAUCUGGCAGAAGGGGGGUAGAAUUCCACGUGUAGCAGUGAAAUGCGUAGAUAUGUGGAGGAACAACCGAUGGCGAAGGCAGCCCCCUGGGUCAAGAUUGACGCUCAUGCACGAAAGCGUGGGGAGCAAACAGGAUUAGAUACCCUGGUAGUCCACGCCCUAAACGAUGUCAACUAGUUGUCGGGUCUUAAUUGACUUGGUAACGCAGCUAACGCGUGAAGUAGACCGCCUGGGGAGUACGGUCGC
rnacentral:rRNA from 1 species